rnacentral:rRNA from 1 species
UACGAAGGGAGCUAGCGUUGUUCGGAAUUACUGGGCGUAAAGCGCACGUAGGCGGAUGUGUCAGUCAGGGGUGAAAUCCCGGAGCUCAACUUCGGAACUGCCUUUGAUACAGCACGUCUUGAGUCCGAUAGAGGUGGGUGGAAUUCCUAGUGUAGAGGUGAAAUUCGUAGAUAUUAGGAAGAACACCGGUGGCGAAGGCGGCCCACUGGAUCGGUACUGACGCUGAGGUGCGAAAGCGUGGGAGCAAACAGG